rnacentral:rRNA from 1 species
CGGACGGUGAGUAACGCGUGGGUAACCUGCCUCAUACAGGGGGAUAACAGUUAGAAAUGACUGCUAAUACCGCAUAAGCGCACAGGACCGCAUGGUCAAGUGUGAAAACUCCGGUGGUAUGAGAUGGACCCGCGUCUGAUUAGCUGGUUGGUGAGGUAACGGCCCACCAAGGCGACGAUCAGUAGCCGACCUGAGAGGGUGGCCGGCCACAUUGGGACUGAGACACGGCCCAAACUCCUACGGGAGGCAGCAG